rnacentral:rRNA from 1 species
AGCGUACACGGUGGAUGCCCUGGCAGUCAGAGGCGAUGAAGGACGUGCUAAUCUGCGAUAAGCGUCGGUAAGGUGAUAUGAACCGUUAUAACCGGCGAUUUCCGAAUGGGGAAACCCAGUGUGAUUCGUCACACUAUCAUUAACUGAAUCCAUAGGUUAAUGAGGCGAACCGGGGGAACUGAAACAUCUAAGUACCCCGAGGAAAAGAAAUCAACCGAGAUUCCCCCAGUAGCGGCGAGCGAACGGGGAGCAGCCCAGAGCCUGAAUCAGUGUGUGUGUUAGUGGAAGCGUCUGGAAAGGCGCGCGAUACAGGGUGACAGCCCCGUACACAAAAAUGCACAUGCUGUGAGCUCGAUGAGUAGGGCGGGACACGUGGUAUCCUGUCUGAAUAUGGGGGGACCAUCCUCCAAGGCUAAAUACUCCUGACUGACCGAUAGUGAACCAGUACCGUGAGGGAAAGGCGAAAAGAACCCCGGCGAGGGGAGUGAAAAAGAACCUGAAACCGUGUACGUACAAGCAGUGGGAGCACGCUUAGGCGUGUGACUGCGUACCUUUUGUAUAAUGGGUCAGCGACUUAUAUUCUGUAGCAAGGUUAACCGAAUAGGGGAGCCGAAGGGAAACCGAGUCUUAACUGGGCGUUAAGUUGCAGGGUAUAGACCCGAAACCCGGUGAUCUAGCCAUGGGCAGGUUGAAGGUUGGGUAACACUAACUGGAGGACCGAACCGACUAAUGUUGAAAAAUUAGCGGAUGACUUGUGGCUGGGGGUGAAAGGCCAAUCAAACCGGGAGAUAGCUGGUUCUCCCCGAAAGCUAUUUAGGUAGCGCCUCGUGAAUUCAUCUCCGGGGGUAGAGCACUGUUUCGGCAAGGGGGUCAUCCCGACUUACCAACCCGAUGCAAACUGCGAAUACCGGAGAAUGUUAUCACGGGAGACACACGGCGGGUGCUAACGUCCGUCGUGAAGAGGGAAACAACCCAGACCGCCAGCUAAGGUCCCAAAGUCAUGGUUAAGUGGGAAACGAUGUGGGAAGGCCCAGACAGCCAGGAUGUUGGCUUAGAAGCAGCCAUCAUUUAAAGAAAGCGUAAUAGCUCACUGGUCGAGUCGGCCUGCGCGGAAGAUGUAACGGGGCUAAACCAUGCACCGAAGCUGCGGCAGCGACGCUGAUGCGUUGUUGGGUAGGGGAGCGUUCUGUAAGCCUGCGAAGGUGUGCUGUGAGGCAUGCUGGAGGUAUCAGAAGUGCGAAUGCUGACAUAAGUAACGAUAAAGCGGGUGAAAAGCCCGCUCGCCGGAAGACCAAGGGUUCCUGUCCAACGUUAAUCGGGGCAGGGUGAGUCGACCCCUAAGGCGAGGCCGAAAGGCGUAGUCGAUGGGAAACAGGUUAAUAUUCCUGUACUUGGUGUUACUGCGAAGGGGGGACGGAGAAGGCUAUGUUGGCCGGGCGACGGUUGUCCCGGUUUAAGCGUGUAGGCUGGUUUUCCAGGCAAAUCCGGAAAAUCAAGGCUGAGGCGUGAUGACGAGGCACUACGGUGCUGAAGCAACAAAUGCCCUGCUUCCAGGAAAAGCCUCUAAGCAUCAGGUAACAUCAAAUCGUACCCCAAACCGACACAGGUGGUCAGGUAGAGAAUACCAAGGCGCUUGAGAGAACUCGGGUGAAGGAACUAGGCAAAAUGGUGCCGUAACUUCGGGAGAAGGCACGCUGAUAUGUAGGUGAAGUCCCUCGCGGAUGGAGCUGAAAUCAGUCGAAGAUACCAGCUGGCUGCAACUGUUUAUUAAAAACACAGCACUGUGCAAACACGAAAGUGGACGUAUACGGUGUGACGCCUGCCCGGUGCCGGAAGGUUAAUUGAUGGGGUUAGCGCAAGCGAAGCUCUUGAUCGAAGCCCCGGUAAACGGCGGCCGUAACUAUAACGGUCCUAAGGUAGCGAAAUUCCUUGUCGGGUAAGUUCCGACCUGCACGAAUGGCGUAAUGAUGGCCAGGCUGUCUCCACCCGAGACUCAGUGAAAUUGAACUCGCUGUGAAGAUGCAGUGUACCCGCGGCAAGACGGAAAGACCCCGUGAACCUUUACUAUAGCUUGACACUGAACAUUGAGCCUUGAUGUGUAGGAUAGGUGGGAGGCUUUGAAGUGUGGACGCCAGUCUGCAUGGAGCCGACCUUGAAAUACCACCCUUUAAUGUUUGAUGUUCUAACGUGGACCCGUAAUCCGGGUUGCGGACAGUGUCUGGUGGGUAGUUUGACUGGGGCGGUCUCCUCCUAAAGAGUAACGGAGGAGCACGAAGGUUGGCUAAUCCUGGUCGGACAUCAGGAGGUUAGUGCAAUGGCAUAAGCCAGCUUGACUGCGAGCGUGACGGCGCGAGCAGGUGCGAAAGCAGGUCAUAGUGAUCCGGUGGUUCUGAAUGGAAGGGCCAUCGCUCAACGGAUAAAAGGUACUCCGGGGAUAACAGGCUGAUACCGCCCAAGAGUUCAUAUCGACGGCGGUGUUUGGCACCUCGAUGUCGGCUCAUCACAUCCUGGGGCUGAAGUAGGUCCCAAGGGUAUGGCUGUUCGCCAUUUAAAGUGGUACGCGAGCUGGGUUUAGAACGUCGUGAGACAGUUCGGUCCCUAUCUGCCGUGGGCGCUGGAGAACUGAGGGGGGCUGCUCCUAGUACGAGAGGACCGGAGUGGACGCAUCACUGGUGUUCGGGUUGUCAUGCCAAUGGCACUGCCCGGUAGCUAAAUGCGGAAGAGAUAAGUGCUGAAAGCAUCUAAGCACGAAACUUGCCCCGAGAUGAGUUCUCCCUGACUCCUUGA